GCUGCUUGUUUCGGCAGCAUAUGCACUAAAACUGGCAUGAUAGAGAUUAGCAUGGCCCCUGAGCAAGGCUGACUCGCAAACUUGUGAAGUGUUCCAUAUGUUA